rnacentral:rRNA from 1 species
ACAUGCAAGUCGAGCGAAUGGAUUAAGAGCUUGCUCUUAUGAAGUUAGCGGCGGACGGGUGAGUAACACGUGGGUAACCUGCCCAUAAGACUGGGAUAACUCCGGGAAACCGGGGCUAAUACCGGAUAACAUUUUGAACCGCAUGGUUCGAAAUUGAAAGGCGGCUUCGGCUGUCACUUAUGGAUGGACCCGCGUCGCAUUAGCUAGUUGGUGAGGUAACGGCUCACCAAGGCAACGAUGCGUAGCCGACCUGAGAGGGUGAUCGGCCACACUGGGACUGAGACACGGCCCAGACUCCUACGGGAGGCAGCAGUAGGGAAUCUUCCGCAAUGGACGAAAGUCUGACGGAGCAACGCCGCGUGAGUGAUGAAGGCUUUCGGGUCGUAAAACUCUGUUGUUAGGGAAGAACAAGUGCUAGUUGAAUAAGCUGGCACCUUGACGGUACCUAACCAGAAAGCCACGGCUAACUACGUGCCAGCAGCCGCGGUAAUACGUAGGUGGCAAGCGUUAUCCGGAAUUAUUGGGCGUAAAGCGCGCGCAGGUGGUUUCUUAAGUCUGAUGUGAAAGCCCACGGCUCAACCGUGGAGGGUCAUUGGAAACUGGGAGACUUGAGUGCAGAAGAGGAGAGUGGAAUUCCAUGUGUAGCGGUGAAAUGCGUAGAGAUAUGGAGGAACACCAGUGGCGAAAGCGACUUUCUGGUCUGUAACUGACACUGAGCGCGAAAGCGUGGGGAGCAAACAGAUUAGAUACCCUGGUAGUCCACGCCGUAAACGAUGAGUGCUAAGUGUUAGAGGGUUUCCGCCCUUUAGUGCUGAAGUUAACGCAUAAGCACUCCGCCUGGGGAGUACGGCCGCAGCUGAAACUCAAGAAUUGACGGGGGCCCGCACAGCGUGAGCAUGUGUUUAAUUCGAAGCAACGCGAGAACCUUACCAGUCUG